rnacentral:lncRNA from 13 species
AUGAAAUGUUUGUGUGUAAUCUUAUACAUGGAAUUACGUAUGAAAUGUUUGUGUGUACUCUUAUACGUGGAAUUACAGUAUGAAAUGUUUGUGUGUAAUCUUAUACGUGGAAUUACGUAUGAAAUGUUUGUGUGUAAUCUUAUAUGUGGAAUUACAUAUGAAAUGUUUGUGUGUAAUCUUAUACGUGGAAUUACGUAUGAAAUGUUUGUGUGUACUCUUAUACGUGGAAUUACAGUAUGAAAUGUUUGUGUGUAAUCUUAUACGUGGAAUUACGUAUGAAAUGUUUGUGUGUACUCUUAUACGUGGAAUUACAGUAUGAAAUGUUCGUGUGUAAUCUUCUAUGUGGAAUUACAGUAUGAAAUGUUUGUGUGUAAUCUUCUAUGUGGAAUUACAGUAUGAAAUGUUUGUGUCUGGCUUUUUUUUGGUUUCACUUAGCACAGUACACUUGGGGGUUGUUGAUAUUGUUGCAUGUACUCAGUGAUUCCUUCCUUUUCAUUGUCAUGUAGUAUUUCAUUGUAAGGUUGUACCAUAAUUUGUUUAUGUGUUCAGCAGUUGAUGGAUAUCUGGGCUUUUUCCUGGUUUGAAUGAUUAUGAAUAGGCUACUAUAAAUAUUCGUGUUCAGGUCUUUUAGGGGACAUGUAUUUUAUUUCUUUUGGGUAAAUAAGAUUGGGAUUAUUGGUUCAUAUGGUAAUUGCAUGGGUAGUUUUAUAAGAAACUGUUUUCCAGUUGGGUGCAGUGGCUCAUGCCUGUAAUUCCAGCACUUUGGGAGACCAAGGUGGGUGAUCAUAAGGUCGGGAGAUCGAGACUAUCCUGGCCAACAUGGUAAAACCCCAUCUCUACUAAAAAUACAGAAAAAAAAAUUAGCCGGGCAUGGUGGCGCAUGCCUGUAGUUCCAGCUGCUCGGAGGCUGAGGCAGUGGAAUCUCUUGAACCCAGGAGGUGGAGGUUGCAGUGAGCUGAGAUCACGCCAUUGCACUGCAGCCUGUGUGACAGAGUGAGACUCUGUCUCACAAAAACAAAAAACAAAACAAAACAAAACAAAAAAAACCCUGUUUUCCAAAGUGGCUGUAGCACUUUGCACUUUGCAUUCCCGUAAACUCUGCAUAGAAUUCCAUUUGCUCCAUGCCCUUACCGGCACUUAGUAUUGAUAGCUUUUUUUAAAUUGUCAUUCUAAAAGGAGUGUAGUGGCAUCUCACAGUGGCCUGAAUUUCCCUAGUGAGCAGUUAUGUUGAGCAUCUUUCUCACGUGCCAUUUACAGACAUCCCCAAUACACUUGUUUGACUAUAAUUUUUCAACUUGAUGGUGUGAAAGUGAUAGAAAUUCAGUAGAAACCAUACUUUGAGUACCCAUGUGCCCAUUCUAUUUUUCAUUUUCAACCAAUUAUUGGAUUCUGGUACAGUAUUCAAUAAAUUGCCGGAAAUAUUCA